rnacentral:rRNA from 1 species
AGAACGAACGCUGGCGGCAGGCCUAACACAUGCAAGUCGAGCGCUGUAGCAAUACAGAGCGGCGCACGGGUGAGUAACACGUGGGAACGUGCCCUUUGGUUCGGAAUAACUCAGGGAAACUUGAGCUAAUACCGGAUGAGCCCUAACGGGGAAAGAUUUAUCGCCGAAGGAGCGGCCCGCGUUGGAUUAGCUAGUUGGUGGGGUAAAAGCCUACCAAGGCGACGAUCCAUAGCUGGUUUGAGAGAACGACCAGCCACACUGGGACUGAGACACGGCCCAGACUCCUACGGGAGGCAGCAGUGGGGAAUCUUGGACAAUGGGGGAAACCCUGAUCCAGCCAUGCCGCGUGAGUGAUGAAGGCCCUAGGGUUGUAAAACUCUUUCGGCGGGGACGAUAAGUGACGGUACCGCAGAAGAAGCUCGGCUAACUCGUGCCUAGCAGCCGC